rnacentral:rRNA from 1 species
CAGCGGCGGACGGGUGCGUAACGCGUAGGAACGUGUCUAGAGGUGGGGGACAACCCUGGGAAACUGGGGCUAAUACCGCAUAUGGGCUGAGGCCCAAAGCCGUGAGGCGCCUUUGGAGCGGCCUGCGUCCGAUUAGCUAGUUGGUGGGGUAAAGGCCUACCAAGGCUCCGAUCGGUAGCUGGUCUGAGAGGACGAUCAGCCACACUGGGACUGAGACACGGCCCAGACUCCUACGGGAGGCAGCAGUGGGGAAUAUUGGACAAUGGGCGCAAGCCUGAUCCAGCAAUGCCGCGUGGGUGAAGAAGGUCUUCGGAUCGUAAAGCCCUUUCGACAGGGACGAUGAUGACGGUACCUGUAGAAGAAGCCCCGGCUAACUUCGUGCCAGCAGCCGCGGUAAUACGAAGGGGGCUAGCGUUGCUCGGAAUUACUGGGCGUAAAGGGCGCGUAGGCGGCUUAGUCAGUCAGGCGUGAAAUUCCUGGGCUUAACCUGGGG